GUGUCAGCAGCCGCGGUAAUACGUAGGGGGCAAGCGUUGUCCGGAAUUAUUGGGCGUAAAGCGCGCGCAGGCGGUUCCUUAAGUCUGAUGUGAAAGGCUACAGCUCAACUGUGGAGGGCCAUUGGAAACUGGGGAACUUGAGGACAGAAGAGGAGAGCGGAAUUCCGCGUGUAGCGGUGAAAUGCGUAGAUAUGUGGAGGAACACCAGUGGCGAAGGCGGCUCUCUGGUCUGUAACUGACGCUGAGGCUCGAAAGCGUGGGGAGCAAACAGGAUUAGAAACCCUAGUAGUCC
rnacentral:rRNA from 1 species